AAUUAGGAUAGCCAAAUAUAAAUAACACAUCAUUCAAAUCCAGAUCAUUCCAAAGAACAAUUUAAUGUAAAAAAUAGGAGAUGCAUGAAUGUAUCUUUCCUCCUUAAUAUGGUUUGGCUGUUUUCCCAACCAAAAUCUCAUUUUGAAUUGUAAUCCCCAUAAACCCCAUGUGUCAAGGGAGAGACCAGGUGGAGGUAAUUGAAUCAUGGGGGUGGUUUCCGCAUGCUGUUGUCAUGAUGGUGAGUGAGUUCUCAUGAGAUCUGAUGGUUUUAUAAGUGGUAGUUCCUCCUGGGUUCAUUUCUUCUUCCUGCCACCUUGUAAAGAAGGUGCCUUGCUUUCCCUUCACCUUGGGCCAUGAUUGUAAGUCUCCUGAGGCCUCCUCAGCCAUGCUGAAAUGCCUAGGACCUAGGAGCACAUGAUGGGACGCGGUCAACAAAACAUUCAGAAUGAGCAAAUCAAUAUGGAACGUGUUGUCUGGCUUUUCUUGGCAGCAUGGGUUCUUUGAAGAGUUUUAAAGAGAAUUCACAAUUACUGAAUAUUACAUAAUUUGAAGAUGAGUAAACUGCUUUCAUCACUGCUCUGGCAAUAAAAUCUGGAAAUCUGGAGAACUCUAGCUUCUAAAAACUAUCUUAUGAUCCAAUUCAGAAUGUGUAGUUCUGCACACAUCGUACAUUUCUUUUUCCUAAGCCAAAUGAUCAUCAAUUCAUCUAAAACCAUUGUCAGGAGGCCCUAUGCUAUGCAAGACUAAUUGUGAGUGUGACUGUAUGCAAAAACAAACAAACAAACAAGGGAAAAAAAGCUUGUUAAAAAGGGAAUUCUUUACUCAAGAGGCAGGAAAAAAAUACCUCCUGACUAGGGAAAGCACAUAUUGAUAGUUCCAGCAGCAACAAACCUGGAGAUCUCUGUCAUUUCUGUUCAAGUGCAUGAAAAGCAAGGCAGCAAAAGCUGUUGGUGCUGUGAGCAUAGAAGGCUAAGGACAUACUUCCCAGCAACUUGCUCGGACUGGACGGUGACUGGAGCUGAUUCCUGAGAUGGGAGUGUGAGCUUGGCAGGCUUUGACAUGGAGCCAGGCCAAAGUGGGAGGCCAAAUUUACAGUGUCAAAUAAACCAUGACUUAGGCGAGAUUUUGUUCAAAAGUAUCAUUGGAAGGGGUUGGAUGGUGGUGGGGUGUGGGGAGACUAUUGUAAUAAAUAGAACACUCUACACAUGAGAUCUGCAGGCAUCUCAAGAGUUAGGCAAAAAGUGGUUUUGUUUUAUAGGAGGAAUAAACAAGGAAGUGAUGUGAGGAAGUGGAUGAAGGGGUCCCAAAAGUGGGUAGUGGAUCAGGGAACAUUCUUCUGGAGGCCAGCCUGUUCUUAGGAGUGAGUGAAGACCAGCUCAGGCUGAUGGUGGGCCAAGGUUCUGGGACCUGGGGAAAGGACAGAAACUUAACCAAAGUUCAAUAAAUAAGAAUUUUGUUUCCAUUAAUUUCAGGGGAAAAAAUAGUUCAGCUAAUCUAUGAGGCAAAGAAUAGGAAUUUGGAAGGCCCAGUCUGGCCUGUCAUAAGUAAACAGGGGCAGGGGUGGGGUGAUAUGGUUAAGCUUUGUGUCCCCACCCAAAUCUCACCUUGAAUUGUAAUCCCCAUAAUCCCCACUUGUCAAGGGAGAGACCAGGUGGAGGAAAUUGAAUCAUGGAUGUGGUUUCUCCCAUGCUGGUCUCGUGAUAAUGAGUGAAUUAUCAUGAGAUCUGAUGGUUUUAUAAGGGGCUCUUCUCCCUUCGUUCAACACUUCUCCUUCCUGCCGCCUUGUGAAGAAGACGCCUUGCUUCCCCUUGGCCUUACACCAUGAUUGGAAACUUGGACCCAGAGACAUACUCAGAGGAAGAACGCUGUGUGAAGGCGGAGGCAGAGGUCAAGGGGAUUCAUCUAUGAGCCACAGACUGCCACAGACUGCCAGCCAACCCUCACCAGAGCCAGGAGAGAGGCACAGGGCAGAGUCUACCUCAUACCCCUCAGAAGGAGUCAACGGUGCUGAUACCUUGAUUUCUGACCUUUACCUUCAGAACUGUGAGACAAUAAAUUUCUAUUGUGUAAGC
rnacentral:lncRNA from 1 species